rnacentral:misc_RNA from 1 species
UGUGGAUACAUUCCUCAGGGAGAACCUGGACUGGCUAAGCCGUGCAACAAAUUGGGCUAAAUUCAGUGCAACAGCUGGUCUUGGUGUUAUUCACAGUGGCCAUUUACAGCAGGGUAGAUCACUGAUGGCCCCUUACUUGCCACAAGGUGGAGCUGGUGGAGGUGGUAGUCCUUAUUCAGAAGGUGGUGCCUUGUAUGCUCUUGGUUUAAUUCAUGCAAAUCAUGGGGAAGGUAUCAAGCAGUUUCUUCGUGAGAGUCUACGUAGUACAAAUGUUGAGGUUAUUCAGCAUGGUGCCUGCUUAGGACUUGGAUUGGCAGCUCUAGGAACCGCUGAUGAAGACAUUUAUGAUGACAUUAAAAACGUGCUAUAUACUGACAGUGCUGUUGCCGGAGAGGCUGCUGGUAUUGGUAUGGGUUUACUGAUGGUUGGAACUGCAAGUGAGAAGGCAAGUGAGAUGCUUGCUUAUGCUCAUGAGACGCAACAUGAGAAGAUAAUUAGGGGUUUGGCACUAGGUAUAGCCCUUACAGUCUAUGGUAGGGAAGAAGAAGCAGAUACAUUGAUCGAGCAGAUGACUAGGGAUCAAGACCCUAUAUUGCGUUAUGGUGGCAUGUAUGCUCUGGCAAUGGCGUACAGGGGAACAGCAAAUAAUAAGGCUAUCCGUCAGUUGCUGCAUUUUGCUGUAUCAGACGUGAGUGAUGAUGUCAGACGGACUGCAGUCUUGGCGCUUGGAUUUGUUAUGUAUUCUGAACCAGAGCAGAUGCCUCGCAUUGUCUCAUUGUUAUCUGAGUCUUACAAUCCACACGUGCGCUAUGGUGCGGCUUUGGCAGUUGGCAUUUCAUGUGCUGGUACUGGUCUGAGUGAGGCAAUCUCAUUGUUGGAGCCUUUGACAUCAGAUGUAGUUGAUUUUGUACGUCAAGGUGCUCUCAUUGCUAUGGCCAUGGUGAUGGUCCAAAUAAGUGAAGCUAGUGAUUCCCGUGUUGGUGCAUUUAGGCGGCAAUUAGAGAAAAUUAUUCUUGAUAAGCAUGAAGAUACAAUGAGUAAGAUGGGUGCAAUCUUGGCCUCUGGAAUUCUUGAUGCCGGUGGAAGGAAUGUGACAAUAAAGCUACUUUCAAAGUCGAAACACGAUAAAAUUACUGCAGUUGUCGGGCUAGCUGUUUUUAGUCAGUUUUGGUAUUGGUAUCCUCUUAUAUAUUUCGUUAGCUUGGCAUUUUCACCCACGGCUCUCAUUGGGCUAAAUUAUGACCUAAAAGUGCCCAAAUUCGAUUUCGUAUCGCAAGCUAAGCCGUCACUAUUUGAGUAUCCUAAGCCUACUACUGUAGCCACGACUAGUUCUGCUGUCAAACUUCCUACAGCUGUUUUAUCAACAUCAGUGAGGGCCAAGGCCAGGGCUAGCAAGAAAGAGGCCGAGAAAGCUAAUGCUGAGAAGGCAUCUGGCGCGUCAACUUCUGCGGCCACUACUUCAGACAAGGGCAAGUCAACUAGUAAGGAUGGAGAGUCUAUGCAGGUAGAUACUCCUGCAGAGAAGAAAAAUGAACCAGAGCCAUCUUUUGAGAUUUUGACCAACCCAGCUAGGGUAGUUCCUACUCAGGAGAAGUACAUCAAAUUUUUGGAAGAAAGCAGAUAUUUGCCAAUCAAAUCAUCGUCUUCUGGCUUUGUGCUUCUGAAAGAUCUUCGUCCUGAUGAACCCGAAGUAUUGGCUCUUACUGAUACACCCUCAUCAACUACAUCCAGUACUGGUGGUUCAGCUGGACAACAGAACUCAACCUCAGCAGUGGCCGCUGACGAGGAGCCCCAGCCACCACAGGCAUUUGAAUAUACGUCAUGAUUUUUAUCGUAAACCUUUGGCUGAUUGAUUGGGUGUUAAUUCCAUGGAAUCCAUUUGAGGCAAUGUGCUGAAUCAGAGAGGUGAGAAGAUAUCUAGAUCAAAGAGUAAUUUUCUGUGAUCAAGUUAAAUUUGAUUGUAAGCCUUCUUUCCUCUUAUUACAGAGACGAGCAUAUAGUUAUCGGUAUACUGGGAAUUUACUAUCGACGUUCUUAGUCUAUUCACGUGUACCCCUAGAGCGUAUAUUCCCUUAUCGUCGUGGAUUAUUUUCAAGGAGCAAGAUUCUACCAUGUUUAAGACACGAUAGAAAGGCAGAAAAUCAGAAGGAUUAUAUGCUUCUUCCUUCAGACACUGUUUGGAUGUAUUUUGUAUCUUUCCCUUGUUAAUUCUACUUGGUACUUCUGUUCUAUAGCUG